UGUAAGCGUAUACCAAAGUUGUUGCAGUUAAAACGCUCGUAGUCGGAAUUUGGCAGUUCCGGAAGUGUGCACGUCGUGUGCGUACUUUGCGGGGACUGCUUUUGUGGUCUUGCGUAGGAUGAGGCACUUUCAUUAGUGAACGUCCUCACGCAACCACUCUUUACUGUGAGAAAAUCAGAGUGCUCAAAGCAGGCAUUUGCCGUGAAUGUAUUAGCAUGGAAUAAUAGAAUAGGACUCGGUUCUAUUUUGUUGGUUUGUUGGGACUGAGUAAUGAUUAAGAGGGACAGUUGGGGGCAUUUGUAUUCCGGCGCUAGAGGUGAAAUUCUUAGAUUGCCGGAAGACAAACUGCUGCGAAAGCGUCUGCCAAGGAUGUUUUCAUUGA
rnacentral:rRNA from 1 species